AUUGUACGCUGGCGGCAGGCCUAACACAUGCCAGUCGAGCGGAGCGGCGGACGGGUGAGUAAUGCCUAGGAAUCUGCCUGGUAGUCGGGGCUAACGUCCGGUAACGGGCGCUAAUACUGCAUACUAUCACAUGAGCCUAGGUCGGAUUAGCUAGUUGGUGGGGUAAAGGCCUACAAAGGCGACGAGCCGUAACUGGUCUGAGAGGAUGAUCAGUCACACUGGAACUGAGACACGGUCCAGACUCCUACGGGAGGGAGCAGUGGGGAAUAGUGGACAAUGGGGGAAAGCCUGAUGCAGCCAUGCCGCGUGUGUGAAGAAGGUCUUCGGAUUGUAAAGCACUUUAAGUUGGGAAGCGGUACCAGCAGAGUAAGCACCGGCUAACUACGUGCCAGCAGCCGCGGUAAUAC
rnacentral:rRNA from 1 species